rnacentral:rRNA from 1 species
UACGUAGGGUGCGAGCGUUAAUCGGAAUUACUGGGCGUAAAGCGUGCGCAGGCGGUGAGCUGUGUCCGAUGUGAAAGCCCCGGGCUUAACCUGGGAAUGGCAUUGGAAACUGGCUCGCUGGAGUGUGGCAGAGGGGGGUGGAAUUCCGCGUGUAGCGGUGAAAUGCGUAGAGAUCGGGAGGAACAUCAGUGGCGAAGGCGGCCAUCUGGGACAACACUGACGCUGAAGCACGAAAGCGUGGGGAGCAAACAGG